rnacentral:lncRNA from 10 species
GUGAGUCAUGAACGCGCAACCUGUUGAUCCAGGUUGGUAAUCAGUGGCCGGGCCUGCCAGCAAAUCACCUGACCCGGUCACCCAGAGGCUGGGAAGGACUGCCGCGGCUGCCGCCCAGAUCCCUCCUUCCUCCCCCUGAAGGCUCUGCCUGGAAGGAGCGAAGGGGUUAAGUGUUUCUGGCGGCCUGGUGCUGUGUCUGCUGCAGUUCCCCCUUCCGGGGCUGCAGCAACCCGAGGUUGGCGAGGAAUGUUUGCAAUGCAGAGCUAGGAGGAGGGCGGGCUGCUAGAGGUGGGGGCCGAGGCAGGCCCGCGGCCAGGCUCCCUAGUUGAGCAAUGGCCCUGCUGGUUCCUGUAACUCGGACCCCUCCCGCCUUUUCCCGCCCUGCCGGCUUCCUCCACCCCGGCUGGGCUGCCUGCCGGGCAGUGGGGGCGGCCUGCACUCAGCUGCAGAGGGAGGUGGAGGGACAGAGGCCCAGAUAGCCUGAAGGUCAAGAGUGAAAGAGAGGGGUUCCCUGAGAGACAGAGCAGGGGUGCAGUUGGCUCAGCCACCCCAGCCCAGAGAAGCGGGGCCUUUUCCAAAGUCACACAGCAAGACACCAGUGAAUUGGGCCACAGCUCUGGGUCUGGCCUCUUUAGUUCCCAUAACUCUAGGCUGCAACUCCCACACACAGCAGGGAGGUCACAUUGCCACUCAGCUGGGAAGCUUUGAACCACAGGGGACCCUCUCCCAACAGAAGGCAAAGCCCCCCCACCCCAAUGCACUGGCUUGGCCUCUUCACCUAAUCCCCAGGGUCUCAGAGAGGACAGUGCACCCACUGGUCUAGGUGCACCCCUCCAUCCUGCCAUUAACUCCCCACCACUUCCCACUGCCCACUGCCCGGCCAGGUCUUGGGGACCUUGGUCACCUCUGUUCCUCGCUUCCGGGAGUAUGAAGUAAAUGAAUGAAGGCCAAACUUGAGCUGGUUCUUGAAAACCCUCUCUCCCCUCUUCCUCUGGGUCUUUUCAAGGAAGGACCAAACUGGCACGGUGGCUCAUGCCUGUAAUCCCAGCACUUUGGGAGGCUGAGGUGGGUGGAUCGCCCGAGGUCAGGAGUUCGAGACCACCUUGGCUAACAUAGUGAAACCCUGUUUCUACUAAAAAUACAAAAAAUUAGCUGGGCGUGUUGAUGGGCACCUGUAAUCCCAGCUACUCUGGAGGCUGAGGCAGGAGAAUCGCUUGAACCCAGGAGUUGGAGGUUGCAGUGAGCUGAAAUCACACCAUUGCACUCCAGCGUGGGCAACAAGAGCAAAACUCCAUCUCAAAAAAAAAAAAAAAAAAAAAAAGGAAGGACCUUCAUGAGUACCAAAUAUUCACUUGGGCUCAGACGCAAAACUCAGCUCUUUCUCCACAAGCACCCCCCUCCUUUGGGGGGAAGCUGUGUUCCCUGACACUGUGGGAUGAGCUCCUCCCUCUGCCGGCAGUAUUUCCUCUCUGGGGGACCUCUGGGGAGGUGGCCUUGCAGUUGGGCACACCUGGCUUGCAUCCCAGAGGCACCACCUUCAAGCUUCCUGGCUUUGCCACACCUCUCUGAGCCUCGGUUUCCUUAUCUGUGCCAUGGAAUUCAGAGAGGCCCCAGUCUCACUAGGCUGAGGCUCAGGGCCAGUUGCCUUUUCCUGGCCCCACAGAUGUAUGGUCAGUUUGGGGGUAUGCCCCCAUCCCUGCUCUGGGCUUUGCCUAAGACAGGCUGUGGGCAGCCCUCAGAGGCGCCAGUUUGGCCACACCUGGCUGGAAUCAGCGGGUGGGUGGGAGCACACAGCAGGGACCCAGUGCCUUCUAGAACACAGCUAGCAGUUCCCGUGAAAAUCAAAACACCCCAUUUUACAGGGCACACAGCCGGCUGAGCCAGGACCCACCACACUCAACUCCCCGGCCCCUGGCUCCCAGGAGGUGGCUCCUCCAUGGCCGGGAAGGACCCCCACGGCUGCUCCCGCAGGCAGAUGGACAGACGAUGGCCCCCUCCCACGGCCUGCGGGCUGUGUGGCAUCGCCACCUCCUCCCGAGCAGGCUGCCUUUAAGAAACCAGAAGAUUGAUUUCCUGGCAGGCUCUACGCCGAGGAGCCCGUCCAAAUGGUUUGCAUGUCUGCAUUUUUUACUGCUCCGUUUAAUAUGUAUGCAAAUGCCGGCCGGCUGCGCCCGCCGCGCGGCUGCACAGUCACACGCGGCGCCCCAUUAAAGCGGCCGUCCCGGGCGCGCGCCUCAUUCGAGGCGACGGGCUCCGGGCCCUGAUAGAUGGGGUGCGGGGACGGAGACAAAUGACGGCCUUUGGGCUCGGAAUACCCACCUUUCUGGUAAUGCAGCCCAGCGGGUCCCAGCCUCGUUUUCCAGCCCUCACUCAAAAUGGAGUCGCUCUGGUUCGAACGCCUCUGACAAGUGUGUACCUACGUGUCAGGCCCAUCCUUCCUGCAGGCCUUUGUCUUGGUGUCACCCUGCCUGAGCUGGCCCCAACCACAGUAGCAACAGUGAUGCUGAUGUGUGACUGCUGCCAGGAGCCUGCUCACAUGACCGUGUGGAGAAAGUUCUUUCCCUGAGGACCAUCUGGAGUGGACGCGUGCACUACCCCUCUCUGAAUACACCCUCCCCACGAGGCCCUCUGGAGCAUCCUGUAGAGCCAGCCCCUACCCAGAGACCCUGAGCCCAGAGAAUGCGCUGGGUGGUGAGCCUGGGGACGAAUGCAGAGCCCUAGGUCUCCUCUCCAGAAAGACCGGAUUUUGCCAUGUUGGCCAGGCUGGUCUUGAACUCCUGACCUCAAGUGAUCCACCUGCCUCGGCCUCCCAAAGUGCAGGGAUUACAGGUGUGAGCCACUGCACCCGGCCUCAGGCAGGUAUUUUUACCAGCCGAAUACUCUUGCACUGUGCACUCUUCGUGUUCAUCAUCAGUCCCCCGGAUGGGUGUUUAAGGCAUUUCCAAAGCUCUGUUAUUAAAAACACGAUGCAAUGAGUUUCUUUCAGCAUUUCCCCUUGUUGCCGUGUGAAUGCGUCCGUGGUAUAACUUCCUAAAAGUGGAAUCGCUUGGUCAAAGGGUGGGUGCAUUUAGCAACCUGAUGGCUUUCCAGGAGACAAGUGCUGCCUCCCGGCCACGAGCUUUUAAGAAGAACUGUUGAUGGAACCCGAGCUGGAGUCCCAGGGACCGGGGCGAGUUCUCCAUCCCAGGGGAUUUUCAGAUGGGACACUGGGGAGAAGCUGCCCUGCCCAUCUGAACUCUAUGAUCCCAGUACUAACACUGGUAGCUGUGCCAUCCCCAGUAUAGAGACAGCACCGUGCUCUUGGGAGGGUGAGUCAUUGGCCCCCG